AAAAUUAAAUUAUAUAAUACUAAAAUAGUAAAUAAUUAUUUAUUAAAACUUAAAUAAUUUGGCGGUAUUUUAGUUUAUUUAGAGGAAUCUGUUUAAUAAUUGAUAUUCCACGAAUAAAUUUACUUAAUUUUUUAAUUUUGUAUAUCGUUGUUAUAAAAAUGUUUUUUAAUAA
rnacentral:rRNA from 1 species